rnacentral:rRNA from 1 species
UGGGGAAUUUUGGACAAUGGGCGAAAGCCUGAUCCAGCAAUGCCGCGUGUGUGAAGAAGGCCUUCGGGUUGUAAAGCACUUUUGUCCGGAAAGAAAUGGCUCUGGUUAAUACCUGGGGUCGAUGACGGUACCGGAAGAAUAAGGACCGGCUAACUACGUGCCAGCAGCCGCGGUAAUACGUAGGGUCCAAGCGUUAAUCGGAAUUACUGGGCGUAAAGCGUGCGCAGGCGGUUGUGCAAGACCGAUGUGAAAUCCCCGAGCUUAACUUGGGAAUUGCAUUGGUGACUGCACGGCUAGAGUGAGUCAGAGGGGGGUAGAAUUCCACGUGUAGCAGUGAAAUGCGUAGAGAUGUGGAGGAAUACCGAUGGCGAAGGCAGCCACAUGGGAUAACAAUGACGCAAAUGCACGAAAGCGUGGGGAGCAAACAGG